rnacentral:piRNA from 1 species
GAGGCUUGCCUUCUAGAAUCGUGG